UGAUUUAAUCCAGCAUAUUUGAGGUGACAACACAGCUGUCUUUGAAACUAGCAUCACCUUGGAUGGAAAGCAUGUCGAAGAUGCCAAAAUGGUAUAUUCACUCAAAAAGUCUAAAACAUACGGAAGAAGGUGAUACUACACCAACAGGUAUGUGUAAUUCCCCCCUGCAUGCUGUUAAAAUGAAAUACAAAUGUGUAGUUCUAUUUUUUGUGUAUGCAAACCACUUGAACUUUAUUUGGUAUUCAAAACGUCAAAAACAGUUAGAGGUGGAUAUCUCCUCUCCUAACCAAGACUGUACACAAUAGCAGAUGUUGUCAUGAUGAAGACGGAGAGGAAGGUAAGAAUAACCCAACGUUUCCCAUAGGUAUUUCCUCCUAUAGGAAACAACAGGCUAGUAUCACAUCUCUUUAAAAGUGAAAGUAGGUGUGGAACCCCGAAGAAAGAAGGUGUGGAACCCCGAAGGUAAACACCACGCUAAUAUUCCCAUCUAAUCUGGAUCAUCCAUUCUCUAAAUAACUUCAUAUGCUAUUGUUAUGUUAUUAUCAAAAGAUUUAAUCUACUAGAAACACUAUGAAAACAGCAUCUAGCCUCAGCCGCUCAGAAAGCAUCCGACCCAUUUGUUUUUGGACAUUUGGAAAUUAGGGAUGCAGAGGAAUGUUUUGUCAUAAGCCCUGCAUUUUCAAUCUAGUUUUCACAUCAUAUGCAGACACAGGGUAACGUGGUCAACAUGUAACUGUGGGAUCCUUUCAGAAGCUGCCCCGGCUGGCUACCAGAGCCUUCAGCACAACAACCAAACAGAUGAAGAACAAGGUGCCAGAUCGUCAGAACCUAUUCCAGGGGAGCAUGACAUCAUUAGGACACCUGGGUGAGAAACAAUCCCAAACGAGGAAAACAAGAGGCGGACAACGGCUUGCCAGUCCACAUCAAGGGAGGGACCACUGAUGUCCUUCUCUACCGGCUAACAAUGACCAUCACCCUCCGCAGGCACUGGAUAUUCCUUAUUCUGGAUUCUACGUGCCUGUCAGCCCAAGGGCAAA